GUGAAAUUCGCCUUACUUGGUUGGAAGAAGGACGCAGACGCUCCACCAAACCUGGAAUCGGUCAUCGAACUCUGGGAAGAUUUAAAAAUCUCCGGCGGAAAUGACAUCGUUACGAUUGCCUGCCACGAUGGAGUGACAGCCAGCGGCCUUUUCCUCGCAAUUGGCUUUGUAAUCGAAAAAAUCAAUAUGGAGCAAAAGGUUGACGUCGGUCUGGCCGUGCGAACCCUGAGAAAGGCAAAACCGGCGUUCAUUUCUUCAGAAACGCAGUUUGGUCUUGUCUACAAAGCUGCCAAUUUCUAUUUGAGCUCCUUCGAAACCUAUAACAACUUCAAUUAGGGAUUGAAAUUAGUGUUUUUAUAAUAUUACUUAAUGUUACCAGCGGGGGCCAGACGUGCGAUAAAAUUGGUUCGCACUGCGCAGAACCAAGAUGACGUCUGAAUGUGGGAAACGAAAAGCUCUCUUUGGAUGUCCGUACGAGUGUCAAGAGAUGUUUUUACGAUCCAACAGACACAAUUAGUUAAGAGUAAUGCAAAUUAUGUCCCAAUAUUGACGAAAACUUGCUUCUUUUCGCGCAUUUUAACGUGGCCGUUUUUCGCGCCAUACUCCACCGGACGCCAUAUCUGCGCGUCGAACGAAUCUGGCUCGAGCUGAAUAUUACUAGCUUUGAUUUUAUACUAAUAAUUAGACAACAUUUACUUUAGUUGUUGAUAUCAAGAAACAAUUAUUACAGUUAGCGCUUUAAACUAACACCAUUUAUUUA